GUUUUAAUAGUUUAUAAAAAAUAUUGAUCUUGUAAAUCAAAGAUAUUAUCUAAUUUAAAACU
rnacentral:tRNA from 1 species